GCUGCCCAUGGAAACGGGGAUCAGCAUGUUUUUCCUCCUCCAGGAGACAUUCCUCCGCGGAUCAGACCAUGCUCCUUCCACAUUGAAAGCCUGUGCUCACACUUUGAAUAUGUUGACUGAAAGACCUUCAUGAGCCGGACACGCUCCUUGGUGUUACACUUGCAGGAGUUGCCGAUGGAGGCCUGCAGUACUCUCGGAGUUGUUGGCAGCUUUAAAGAGCACUGAUGAGAAGAUGGAGAAGGACAGGAAAAAGACAGAUUCAACCUGUGGCAGAGAGACACCACAUAGAUUUUAGUUUCUCUAUUCCUGGAAUUUCACUUUGCCCCAGCUCCCCACGAAGACCAGACAAAGACUUACUGUCUCUGGAAAAGGAGUAGAAGCAAAAAGGCAAUGCUACUGGAGGAGGCCCAGAAAAGCGCUUCCUGCAUGUGCUCCUGCUUGAGUCCUAAAUUGCACAAGGCAGAUUUUUAUUACCUUGGACUUUUGGGUCUGUGUAGGGUGGGGAUGAGUGGUAGGCAGGAAAGCUAAUAAGGCUUUGAAAGUAAUCCCAGGUGCAUAAGGCCCGUCUGAGACCCGAGGCUGAAGGAGAACAGGGAAAGCUCCCCUCUACCUUAAUCUUUACAUCGCACCUUAAAUAUUUGUAAAACACAUAUCCAACUAAGGACUUGAAGCCAGAUUAUCUAAAGAACUAUUACAAAAAUAAUAAAAAUAAC
rnacentral:lncRNA from 1 species